rnacentral:rRNA from 1 species
GAUGAACGCUGGCGGCGUGCCUAAUACAUGCAAGUCGAGCGAAUGGAUUAAGAGCUUGCUCUUAUGAAGUUAGCGGCGGACGGGUGAGUAACACGUGGGUAACCUGCCCAUAAGACUGGGAUAACUCCGGGAAACCGGGGCUAAUACCGGAUAACAUUUUGAACCGCAUGGUUCGAAAUUGAAAGGCGGCUUCGGCUGUCACUUAUGGAUGGACCCGCGUCGCAUUAGCUAGUUGGUGAGGUAACGGCUCACCAAGGCAACGAUGCGUAGCCGACCUGAGAGGGUGAUCGGCCACACUGGGACUGGGACACGGCCCAGACUCCUACGGGGGGCAGCAGUAGGGAAGCUUCCGCAAUGGACGAAAGUCUGACGGAGCAACGCCGCGUGAGUGAUGAAGGCUUUCGGGUCGUAAAACUCUGUUGUUAGGGAAGAACAAGUGCUAGUUGAAUAAGCUGGCACCUUGACGGUACCUAACCAGAAAGCCACGGCUAACUACGUGCCAGCCGCCGCGGUAA